AGAUGUCAGAUUUUAUCUAAAGUGUUUUGUUUUCCAGUAAGUGUGCAAUGUUUUGGACUCUCAAAGUUCCCGGAGCUUGUGGAAGAGAAACCGGCCCCCAGGCUAACGGAUCCUCCGCCGUACUUUCCAGUGAGUCUGAGAGGCUUCUCCACAUGUUCACACCAGAUUCAACUGGACAGUUUUGCUCUCACCAAAACACACACAUAUAAAUUAGUUCCCGUAGAGAUUAGCAAACUCCAGGUUUACAUUUGUGAUGGAACAAAAAAAAAAACAUUGUGGCUUGUAGACCGUCUAACGGUUGCCAUGGAUACUUGGUGACCACAAGACGCCACUUUUUGCUGCAGAUCUCCAACAUUAAUUGUUUUUUCUACCUCCUUUACCAUCAUUCAAACUAAAAACGUAAAGGGGAAACAUGUCGUCUUGAACUCAUAAGGUUGAGGGUUCCAUUCCUGCUGCCUGCUUCCACAUGCUAAUAAGAUCAAAUCAAAGGGUCAAAGUGCAAAAGUCAAGAGUUCAAGCAAAACACAAUGGCUUCAGGAGAGCAUCCAUAACCAGAUAACUGUCACUUCCUGUUAAUCUUUCUUCUCUAUUCAAUGCCGAAUGUGUGUGUUUAUGAGAGUGGCUUGAAAUGAAAACUUUUGGUCGCAUUCGAUCAAAAAUGUAACCGCUGUCCCAACAUACCGAGGAUGAAAAGAUGAGAGAGAAGAAAACCGGAGGGAGGAACGAUCUCUGGAGGUGAAAUAAAGACGUUUCCCUCAGUGCAACAUGCAGAAUCAAAUAACGGUAACCGAGUUAAGUCCAACUCCACCUGUUGCUUCACUCGCUCUGCCUGCAGCUCAUGCUAACUGAGUUAGCGAUUAGCCGGAUGUCUGCGCUCUUCACCGUUCUCUGGUACCAGUUCAGACUGUCGGGUUUAUCAGACCGGAUUCCUCUGAGGUCUGAAGCAGUCAGUCUGCUGCAGGUCAGCUACUCAGCAGGAUUUUAUUUUAAUAAUUUACAGAAAUUAUCUUAACGGUUGUUUGGUUUUGGCUUAGAAUCGGAUUAGGUGGCCUGGACUAAAACACUAGCAAACAUCUCUUACUUGCUUUUUCUCCGUUACAUUUGCUUUAGCUUACAGCUGAUUGAAAGUGUUACAAUCCCUUUGCAUCCAGAGCUAAGGGGGGAAAAGGCAGCGUCAGGCCAUUAGUCUUCAGAUUUAAGUUAUUGAUGAUAGAAAAACUGAUUCCUCUACGGGAACAGGAACGUUAAAGAGGCAAUAUCAGGUAAAAUCGACUAUUUUGAGCUCCAUAUCAUUUUAUAAUCUUAUUUCCUUAUAAAAAUUAUACCUGGAGUUGCUUUUAUUAUUCAUGCAUGCUUGAGAAAAUCUCCCUUUACAUUUGGUUUAUUCUUCAAUCCUUCCUUAAGGAAUAAAUACUUCCUUCAUUCUUCAGUUCCUUCAUUUUUCCCCCCAUCAUUCUUCCUUCAGUCCUUCCUUCUUUUCUUAGGUUCUUCCUUCUGUCUCCAUACUUCCUUCUUGCUGUGUAUCCGUUGUGUUGAUGUUUUCUGUUGUGAUUUUCUGCACUGUUUCGCUCUGUAUUUUUUUAAAUCUCCUCUCCCUCCCUCUCUCUGACCCUCCUCCAUCAGUGGGCCUCUCUUUCAGCUCAGCUGCCCAGUAAUGGCUUCCAGUGCAGAGCCGCCAUCUUUCCCAGGCUCUAGAAAUCCAGUCCCAACCGCAAAUCCAAUUUAAAAGCAUCUCCCUCCAGAUUGAAGCAGGUGUUCAAUCCAAACCCUGAUCUCCAGCAGAGUGCGCGCGCCGCAGUCAACAUAUUCAUCACUGAAAGUGACAUUGCGCCGUGCUGACUCCCCCCUGGGGGAAUGUUAACAUUAAACAUCAUGCAGCCUCCUGGAGGCCCGCAGGGGGCGCUGCGGGGCGCGGCGUGUGAAGACUUCCAUAUUAAAGGCAUCAUAAGGAGCAGACUUUUCUCCCUCAUGAAAAAUGCACAGCGGCGGAUUCAUUACUCCGCUGAGCUAAGUGAGUGUGACAAGCGGGGAGCUGGAGCCACCGAGGGCAGCGAGGCAGCGCUGCACCGAGGCCCGGGGCCACUCUCCAGCUUCUUCUACGCUCUGCUUGGAUUUUUCCAAAUGGUUGAAGGUGCCACGCGCGGCAUGAGACCGAGCGCGUGCCGGCCAGUCUUGUGCAUGCGCGCUCAUUGGACAGUAAUCAAUUGUCUGUCUUUUACAGCGUGAUGCGUGUGACCCCUGAUUCGCACCUCGGGGCCUUUAUGCUAUUAAUAAACUCUCGCGUUAUCAUCGUUUGACGAGACAAACGGACGGGGAGCUGGCAGCGCGCGCUUUACGUAAUGAAAUAAAACUCCGGUUGUGAUGAAAUGUUUGGUUCUGAUUGAGUCUCAUUUAAAUCUACUGGUCCCGCAUUGGCCUUUGCUUAUUCAGUCAACUCAUAAACUUGAAUGUUGUAUGAUAUAGGUCAUUGUGAAAUUGAUAUUUAUUUUUAUAAAUAAAAUUCUGAAAAGUG